CUCCAGCUGAUGAUUCCCAAAUAGGACGAAACGCGCGUUCUGGAU
rnacentral:hammerhead_ribozyme from 1 species